GUGUUUGUAGCUUAGUGGAUAGAGCGUCUGUUUCCUAAGUAGAAAGUCUCGACCCCUACCUGACGCGAAAUAAAAUAAACACU
rnacentral:tRNA from 1 species